AAGACGUGGAUUCAUCUGACUCUGGACUGUAUUUCUGUGAGUUUUACUCACGUCGCCGUCCAAUUUUCAGUGUACUACGUUUAAAUGUUGAAGUAAAAGGCAGCAAUGAGACACAUGAUGACGUGGACAGCCAGUGUGAAACGAGUGACGGAACAGCAAAGCUGACGAGUAUGAUCCUGGGCGGUCUGACUGUCUUCCUGGUAGCGGUCAUCAUCGGUCUGGUUGUUAAAAACAGGAAGCUUCAGACUUCAG